AUGAUUCUUGAGUAGAAAAAUAAAAUCCUCCUCUUGACUUCAAGCUUUAGAAUCCCUCCAAAGUUGCUCUUAAUUCAAGGUUAAUAGGUGUUUGGAGCUUGUUUUAAUGGAAGAUUAUGGUAUAGAAAUGAUCUAUGAAGCUUUGCACAUGAUCAUCAAUGGAGGAUGAUGAAGAAAUAGAGAGAGAAAGAGGGUGAGAGGGGACGGUACCUUUGGGGAGAGAAAGAGA
rnacentral:lncRNA from 1 species